GAUGAAGAACGCAGCGAAAUGCGAUAAGUAAUGUGAAUUGCAGAAUUCAGUGAAUCAUCGAAUCUUUGAACGCACAUUGCGCCCGCCAGUAUUCUGGCGGGCAUGCCUGUUCGAGCGUCAUUUCAACCAUCAAGCCCCCGGCUUGUGUUGGGGACCUGCGGCUGCCGCAGGCCCUGAAAACCAGUGGCGGGCUCGCUAGUCACUCCGAGCGUAGUAAUACAUCUCGCUCAGGGCGUGCUGCGGGUUCCGGCCGUUAAAAAGCCUUAUUUACCCAAGGUUGACCUCGGAUCAGGUAGGAAGACCCGCUGAACUUAAGCAUAUCAAUAAGCGAGGA
rnacentral:misc_RNA from 1 species